rnacentral:ncRNA from 1 species
UUCAGAGAUUGCCUCUGUCAUUACCUACAUUAAGUAUGCAAUGGGAAUGCAAUCGUUGA